rnacentral:rRNA from 1 species
UACGGAGGAUCCAAGCGUUAUCCGGAUUUAUUGGGUUUAAAGGGUGCGUAGGCGGACGCUUAAGUCAGCGGUAAAAUUGCGGGGCUCAACCCCGUACUGCCGUUGAAACUGCAUCCCUUGAGUGCGCGAGAAGUAUGCGGAAUGCGUGGUGUAGCGGUGAAAUGCAUAGAUAUCACGCAGAACUCCGAUUGCGAAGGCAGCAUACCGGCGCCCUACUGACGCUGAGGCACGAAAGCGUGGGUAUCGAACAGG